UGGGGAAUAUUGCACAAUGGGCGAAAGCCUGAUGCAGCGACGCCGCGUGAGGGAUGAAGGUCUUCGGAUUGUAAACCUCUUUCAGUAGGGACGAAGCGAAAGUGACGGUACCUAAAGAAGAAGCACCGGCUAACUACGUGCCAGCAGCCGCGGUAAUACGUAGGGUGCAAGCGUUGUCCGGAUUUAUUGGGCGUAAAGAGCUCGUAGGCGGUUAGACACGUCGGAUGUGAAAACUGGUGGCUCAACCACCAGCCUGCAUUCGAUACGGUCUGACUUGAAUGUGGUAGGGGUAACUGGAAUUCCUGGUGUAGCGGUGAAAUGCGCAGAUAUCAGGAGGAACACCGAUGGCGAAGGCAGGUUACUGGGCCACUAUUGACGCUGAGGAGCGAAAGCGUGGGGA
rnacentral:rRNA from 1 species